CAGUCGCCACGGGAAUACGAGGGGUCCUAGCGUUGCUCGGAAUCAUUGGGCGUAAAGCGGAUGUAGGCGGACAACCAAGUCAGAUGUGAAAGCCCCGGGCUCAACCCGGGAAGUGCAUUUGAAACUGGCUAUCUUGAGUGCAGUAGAGGAAGGUGGAAUUCCAAGUGUAGUGGUGAAAUACGUAGAUAUUUGGAGGAACAUCGGUGGCGAAGGCGACCUUCUGGACUGUUACUGACGCUGAGAUCCGAAAGCGUGGGGAUCAAACAGGAUUAGAUACCCGCGUAGUCCCUGUCUCUUAUAC
rnacentral:rRNA from 1 species